GAGUUUGAUCCUGGCUCAGAUUGAACGCUGGCGGCAUGCCUAAUACAUGCAAGUCGAACGGAAACGAUGGAAGCUUGCUUCCAGGCGUCGAGUGGCGGACGGGUGAGUAAUACUUAGGAAUCUGCCUAUUAGUGGGGGACAACUCGAGGAAACUCGAGCUAAUACCGCAUACGCCCCAAGGGGGAAAGCGGGGGAUCUUUCGGGACCUCGCGCUAAUAGAUGAGCCUAAGCCGGAUUAGCUUGUUGGUGGGGUAAAGGCCUACCAAGGCGACGAUCCGUAGCUGGUCUGAGAGGACGAUCAGCCACACUGGGACUGAGACACGGCCCAGACUCCUACGGGAGGCAGCAGUAGGGAAUAUUGCACAAUGGGCGAAAGCCUGAUGCAGCAAUGCCGCGUGUGUGAAGAAGGCCUUAGGGUUGUAAAGCACUUUCAAUAGUGAAGAAAAACACAAGGAUAAUACCCUUGUGUCAUGACGUUAACUAUACAAGAAGCACCGGCUAACUCCGUGCCAGCAGCCGCGGUAAUACGGAGGGUGCAAGCGUUAAUCGGAAUUACUGGGCGUAAAGCGCGCGUAGGCGGUUAUGUAAGUCGGAUGUGAAAGCCCAGGGCUUAACCCUGGAAUUGCAUCCGAUACUGCAUGACUAGAGUAUGGUAGAGGGAAGUGGAAUUUCAAGUGUAGCGGUGAAAUGCGUAGAUAUUUGAAGGAACACCAGUGGCGAAGCGACUUCCUGGCCAAUACUGACGCUGAGGUGCGAAAGCGUGGGGAGCGAACAGGAUUAGAUACCCUGGUAGUCCACGCCGUAAACGAUGAGAACUAGAUGUUGGGAGGGUUACCUUUCAGUGUCGCAGCUAACGCGUUAAGUUCUCCGCCUGGGGAGUACGUCGGCAACGAUAAAACUCAAAGGAAUUGACGGGGACCCGCACAAGCGGUGGAGCAUGUGGUUUAAUUCGAUGCAACGCGCAGAACCUUACCAGUCCUUGACAUGGGGAGUUUGGUUUCCGGAGACGGAUUCCUUCAGUUCGGCUGGCUCCCACACAGGUGCUGCAUGGCUGUCGUCAGCUCGUGUCGUGAGAUGUUGGGUUAAGUCCCGCAACGAGCGCAACCCUUAUCCUAUGUUGCCAGCAUUUAGUUGGGGACUCGUAGGAGACUGCCGGGGUCAACUCGGAGGAAGGUGGGGAUGACGUCAAGUCAUCAUGCCCCUUAUGCCCAGGGCUGCAAACACGCUACAAUGGCUGGUACAAAGGGCUGCGAACCCGCGAGGGCAAGCGAAUCCCACAAAGCCAGUCUCAGUUCGGAUUGGAGUCUGCAACUCGACUCCAUGAAGCUGGAGUUGCUAGUAAUCCCGGAUCAGCACGCCGGGGUGAAUACGUUCCCGGGCCUUGUACUCAC
rnacentral:rRNA from 1 species